UUGGUUGCCAGAUACAAAACUGCACUCAAACUAUUUCACAUAAAAUUUUGGGUAAUGUUCACCCUAAGCACGGAAGGUAUUGCAUUUACCACCCUGUGUUAUAAUGAUCUGUUCAUAUGUUCAUUAUAAUUACAUCAUUUAACACCAAUAACUUAAUGAUUUUGUUUUCUUUUAUUUACUACUAUAUUCUUGGUGCAAAGAAAAGUGCCUGACAAAUGAUAGGUACUGAAGAAAUAUUGUUCAAGUAAAAAGUAGGAUUGGGGACCCUAGACAGGGUCAGGGUGUUAGUAGAUUACUUUAAUUAUUAAAACAAACAAACAAACAAAAAAGAAGGGCAGCUGAAACCUAACUCUUGGCCUCUCCCUUCCUCCCUGAACAAUAUGAGCUUCAGCACCCACACCAGCUUUUUCAUCAACUACCAGACCCUGGGCUCCUGUCGACUCGCAGCAACCGGGCUGGCCUGCCAGCGGAGCAACCAGCAACUAAUGCAAGUGUUGGGGGUUUGGGCUUCUGGAUCACCGUGUCUCACUUGACCAGUGUGCAGAGCGAGUGGGAGUCCGGGGACCUGGCCACAGAAAUGGACAGGAGUCUGGUGGACAUAACAGGCAUCAAGAGAAAGAAGGAAACUAUGCAGUGCCUGAGUGGCGAGGGUGAGGAGCGUGGAGGCUGACAAUUGGAGAUUGGAGAGCAAUAUCUGGGAACACCUAGAGAAGAAGGGACCCUAAGAGACUAGGGACAUUACUUCAAGAUCACAGAGGACCUGAGGACUCAGGUCCUUGGCAGUUCCAUGGACAAUGCCCACAUCGUUCUGCAGCUUGACAAUGCCUGUCUUGCUGCUGAUGAUUUCAGAGACAAAUAUGAGAGGGAGCUGGCCAUGAGCCAGUUUAUGGAGAGUGACAGUAGGCUCUGAAAAGUUGUUGAUGACACCAAUAUCACUCGACUGCAGCUGGAGACAGAGAUCGAGGCUCUCAAGGAGCAGCUGCUCUUCAUGAAGAAGAACCAGGAGGAGGAAGUAAAUGGUCUACAAAGCCAGAUUGCUAACUCCGGGUUGACCACAGAGUUGGGUGCCCCAAAUCUCAGCACUUCAGGGUAUCCAGGUCCGUAUGAUGAGCUGGCUCAGAAGAACUGGAAGGAGCUGGACAAGUACUGGUCCCAGCAAACUGAAGAGAGCACCACAGUGGUCACCUCACAGACCACUGAGAUAGGAGCUGCUGCGAUGACACUAGGAACUGAGAUGUAGGGUUCAAUCCUAAGGGAUUGACCCUGACUUGAUGAGAAAUCUAAAGGCCAGUUUGGAGAGCAGCCUGUGCGAGGUGGAGACGGGCUGCAGCACCUAGAGUCAGAGCUGGCCCAGACCCGGCAGAGGGGCAGUACCCAACAAUAGUAUGAGGCCCUGCUAGGAGAAGGGGAGGACUUUGAUUUUGGUUAUACCCUGGACAACAGCGACUCCAUGCAAUCCAUCCAAAAUACGGCCACUUGGAGGAUUGUGGAAAGCAAAGUGGUGUCUGAAGUCAGUGACAUCAAAGUUCUGAGAUGUUAAGGUAGCAAAACCAGGGGCCGAGGCCAAUAAAAAAUUCAGAGAUCACCCUGGUUGGUUUGGCUCAAUGGAUAGAGCAUUGGCCUGGGGACCAAAGGACUCUGGGUUCAAUUCUGGUUAAGGGCAUAUGCUUGGG